AGAGAUAGAGGCGCGGGUAGAAUGAGUACUGCGAGUGUUUUUCCGGGAGAGGAAACGCAGGAAAGGUCGACCGCCGAAGGGAUGCCGGUUCUUCCGCCGGAAUCUGCUGGGUCGUAAGGGAACACUUUACGGACUGUCACAUUUGUGGAGGGCUAUCG
rnacentral:ncRNA from 1 species